rnacentral:rRNA from 1 species
CAGCAGCCACGGUAAUACAGAGGGUGCGAGCGUUAAUCGGAUUUACUGGGCGUAAAGCGUGCGUAGGCGGCUUCUUAAGUCGGAUGUGAAAUCCCUGAGCUUAACUUAGGAAUUGCAUUCGAUACUGGGAAGCUAGAGUAUGGGAGAGGAUGGUAGAAUUCCAGGUGUAGCGGUGAAAUGCGUAGAGAUCUGGAGGAAUACCGAUGGCGAAGGCAGCCAUCUGGCCUAAUACUGACGCUGAGGUACGAAAGCAUGGGGAGCAAACAGGAUUAGAUACCCGUGUAGUCCCUGUCUCUUAUAA